rnacentral:rRNA from 1 species
UGGGGAAUAUUGGACAAUGGGCGAAAGCCUGAUCCAGCCAUGCCGCGUGAGUGAUGAAGGCCCUAGGGUUGUAAAGCUCUUUUGUGCGGGAAGAUAAUGACGGUACCGCAAGAAUAAGCCCCGGCUAACUUCGUGCCAGCAGCCGCGGUAAUACGAAGGGGGCUAGCGUUGCUCGGAAUCACUGGGCGUAAAGGGUGCGUAGGCGGGUUUCUAAGUCAGAGGUGAAAGCCUGGAGCUCAACUCCAGGACUGCCUUUGAUACUGGAAGUCUUGAGUUCGUGAGAGGUGAGUGGAACUGCGAGUGUAGAGGUGAAAUUCGUAGAUAUUCGCAAGAACACCAGUGGCGAAGGCGGCUCACUGGCCCGAUACUGACGCUUAGGCACGAAAGCGUGGGGAGCAAACA